rnacentral:rRNA from 1 species
GUCCUGGCAGUAAACGGUGUACGUUUGGUGUGGGAGGAUUCGACCCCUUCCGUGCCGGAGCUAACGCGUUAAACGUACCGCCUGGGAAGUACGGUCGCAAGAUUAAAACUCAAAGAAAUUGACGGGGGCCCGCACAAGCGGUGGAGUAUGUGGCUUAAUUCGAUGCAACGCGAAGAACCUUACCAGGGUUUGACAUGCAUCUCUAAGGCGGUGAAAGCCGUCGAGUGUAGCAAUACACAAUUUGCACAGGUGCUGCAUGGCUGUCGU